rnacentral:rRNA from 1 species
GACGUAUGUUGGCUUCUUGCUCAUCACAUGCAUGUCGAACUAUGUAUAUCAUUAACGUGCACUUCGAUUCACAUUUCACUUCGGAUUAGUACCAGAGGGCUUAUUAACCCGUGAGCAUCCUACUUCUUACAAAGGUAUAGUCUCGGGAAACCGUGUUUCCUACCCUGUGACUCCUUCAUAUUGCAUCUUCAGACUCUUAAAGCUACGUCUGUAAGAGAUUCGCUCGCGUACCAUUAGCUAGUUGGUGAGGUAACGGCCCACCAAGGCGACGAUGGGUAACCGGCGGGAGAGGGUGAACGGUCAAAAUGGAAAUGAGACACGGUCCAAACUCCUACGGGAGGCAGCAGUGGGGAAUAUUGCACAAUGGAGGGAACGCUGAUGCAGCGACGCCGCGUGAGCGAUGAAGGAAUUCGUUUCGUAAAGCUCUGUUCUAUGGGAAGAAAAGGACUGUACCAUAGGAGAAAGCCCCGGCUAAAUACGUG